rnacentral:rRNA from 1 species
UUGGUUAGUGUCGCAUGACACAAAGUUAAAAGGCGCUUCGGCGUCACCUAGAGAUGGAUCCGCGGUGCAUUAGUGUUGGUGGGGUAAAGGCCUACCAAGACCCAAUGAUGCAUAGCCGAGUUGAGAGACUGAUCGGCCACAUUGGGACUGAGACACGGCCCAAACUCCUACGGGAGGCUGCAGUAGGGAAUCUUCCACAAUGGGCGAAAGCCUGAUGGAGCAACGCCGCGUGUGUGAUGAAGGCUUUCGGGUCGUAAAGCACUGUUGUAUGGGAAGAACAGCUAGAAUAGGAAAUGAUUUUAGUUUGACGGUACCAUACCAGAAAGGGACGGCUAAAUACGUGCCAGCAGCCGCGGUAAUACGUAUGUCCCGAGCGUUAUCCGGAUUUAUUGGGCGUAAAGCGAGCGCAGAACGGUUUAUUAAGUCUGAUGUGAAGCCCGGAGCUCAACUCCGGAAUGGCAUUGGAGAACUGGUUAACUUGAGUGCAGUAGAGGUAAGUGGAACUCCAUGUGUAGCGGUGGAAUGCGUAGAUAUAUGGAAGAACACCAGUGGCGAAGGCGGCUUACUGGACUGCAACUGGACGGUGAGGCUCGAAAGUGUGGGUAGCAACAGGAUUAGAUACCGUGGUAGUCCACACCGUAAACGAUGAACACUAGGUGUUAGGAGGUUUCCGCCUCUUAGUGCCGAAGCUAACGCAUUAAGUGUUCCGCCUGGGGAGUACGACCGCAAGGUUGAAACUCAAAGGAAUUGACGGGGACCCGCACAAGCGGUGGAGCAUGUGGUUUAAUUCGAAGCACGCGAAGAACCUUACCAGGUCUUGAGCAUCCUUUGAAGCUUUUAGAGAUAGAAGUGUUCUCUUCGGAGACAAAGUGACAGGUGGUGCAUGGUCGUCGUCAGCUCGUGUCGUGAGAUGUUGGGUUAAGUCCCGCAACGAGCGCAACCCUUAUUGUUAGUUGCCAGCAUUCAGAUGGGCACUCUAGCGAGACUGCCGGUGACAAACCGGAGGAAGGCGGGGACGACGUCAGAUCAUCAUGCCCCUUAUGACCUGGGCUACACACGUGCUACAAUGGCGUAUACAACGAGUUGCCAACCCGCGAGGGUGAGCUAAUCUCUUAAAGUACGUCUCAGUUCGGAUUGUAGUCUGCAACUCGACUAACCCAUGAAGUCGGAAUCGCUAGUAAUCGCGGAUCAGCACGCCGCGGUUAACCGGCAAAUU